rnacentral:rRNA from 1 species
AGUGAACGCUGGCGGUAGGCCUAACACAUGCAAGUCGAACGGCAGCACAGGAGAGCUUGCUCUCUGGGUGGCGAGUGGCGGACGGGUGAGGAAUACAUCGGAAUCUACCUUUUCGUGGGGGAUAACGUAGGGAAACUUACGCUAAUACCGCAUACGACCUUCGGGUGAAAGCAGGGGACCUUCGGGCCUUGCGCGGAUAGAUGAGCCGAUGUCGGAUUAGCUAGUUGGCGGGGUAAAGGCCCACCAAGGCGACGAUCCGUAGCCGGUCUGAGAGGAUGAUCAGCCACACUGGAACUGAGACACGGUCCAGACUCCUACGGGAGGCAGCAGUGGGGAAUAUUGGACAAUGGGCGCAAGCCUGAUCCAGCCAUACCGCGUGGGUGAAGAAGGCCUUCGGGUUGUAAAGCCCUUUUGUUGGGAAAGAAAAGCAGCCAGUUAAUACCUGGUUGUUCUGACGGUACCCAAAGAAUAAGCACCGGCUAACUUCGUGCCAGCAGCCGCCGUAAGAC